rnacentral:rRNA from 1 species
GUCUGAAGAAGGCCUUCGGGUUGUAAAGGACUUUUGUUAGGGAAGAAAAGCCGGGUGCUAAUACCACCUGGUGCUGACGGUACCUAAAGAAUAAGCACCGGCUAACUACGUGCCAGCAGCCGCGGUAAUACGUAGGGUGCGAGCGUUAAUCGGAAUUACUGGGCGUAAAGCGAGCGCAGACGGUUAAUUAAGUCAGAUGUGAAAUCCCCGAGCUCAACUUGGGACGUGCAUUUGAAACUGGUUAACUAGAGUGUGUCAGAGGGAGGUAGAAUUCCACGUGUAGCAGUGAAAUGCGUAGAGAUGUGGAGGAAUACCGAUGGCGAAGGCAGCCUCCUGGGAUAACACUGACGUUCAUGCUCGAAAGCGUGGGUAGCAAACAGGAUUAGAUACCCUGGUAGUCCACGCCCUAAACGAUGACAAUUAGCUGUUGGGACACUAGAUGUCUUAGUAGCGAAGCUAACGCGUGAAAUUGUCCGCCUGGGGAGUACGGUCGCAAGAUUAAAACUCAAAGGAAUUGACGGGGACCCGCACAAGCGGUGGAUGAUGUGGAUUAAUUCGAUGCAACGCGAAGAACCUUACCUGGUCUUGACAUGUACGGAAUCUCUUAGAGAUAGGAGAGUGCCUUCGGGAGCCGUAACACAGGUGCUGCAUGGCUGUCGUCAGCUCGUGUCGUGAGAUGUUGGGUUAAGUCCCGCAACGAGCGCAACCCUUGUCAUUAGUUGCCAUCAUUAAGUUGGGCACUCUAAUGAGACUGCCGGUGACAAACCGGAGGAAGGUGGGGAUGACGUCAAGUCCUCAUGGCCCUUAUGACCAGGGCUUCACACGUCAUACAAUGGUCGGUACAGAGGGUAGCGAAGCCGCGAGGUGAAGCCAAUCUCAGAAAGCCGAUCGUAGUCCGGAUUGCACUCUGCAACUCGAGUGCAUGAAGUCGGAAUCGCUAGUAAUCGCAGGUCAGCAUACUGCGGUGAAUACGUUCCCGGGUCUUGUACACACCGCCCGUCACACCAUGGGAGUGGGGGAUACCAGAAUUGGGUAGACUA